AGGUCAGACAAUGCCAGCCUCACGAAGAGAUCCUGCCCACCGUCGACGAACCGCGUGUCCAUCAGGUCGACGAACCACUGUAUGCACCCGGUGCCGGCCCCGCCUCCACGGAUGUCCGACGCGGCGUACGCCGUGCAAUUGCAGUUGGACAGGCACCUCCGGCCGCACUCCUCGAGCGAGGCACCGGCGUCCACGCUGCUGCCGUGCGUCUCCGGCAGCUUCACGCCGCGCAGAGCGUAGAACCCGUCGCUGUCGUCGCCGCACCGUAGCGGCGUUCUUCGGGCGCACCCGCCGGACGCGUCCCGCAUGCGCCACUCCGCCGGCGCCCUCUGCUGGAACCCGUGGACACAGCUGCACACGAUGGCGUCCACCACGUUGCACACGCCGAACGCGCCGCACAGGCCGUAGCUGUCGCACUGGUCCCUCGGCCCCGACCAGAAGGUGUUCCAGGCGCCCGUGGCGCGGUCCCAGACCAUGCGCUGCAUCACGCCGGACUCGUUCAGGACCACGCGGGACGGCGGCGAGCCGACGCGGUCGCGGUACCCGUAGGAGACCUCGUCGGCGGUGUCGGUGAACCGGAACUCGAACAUGUCCUCGAAGGUGGUCAUCUCCGGUAUGCCGCUGAACCGCACGCCGUUCCAGGGCCCCGUCCGGUACGUCUUGCGCCCCUCCCUCCAGAUGUGCAGCUCCGGGGAGCCGCUCGUGUCCAUGUCGUAGCGGAAGUCGCCGGCGGACGGGUCGUCGGCGUCGCGCCACGACGAGAGGGACCACACGGCGCCGGUCCUGAGGUCCCUCCCGGUCCGCAUCUCGGAGAUGAACGUGUUGGUGGGGUGCUCGAAGCUCUGCCACACCACGGCGCCGGCCUCGCUCGUGAGCACCAGGUUGCCGUUGUCGUGGAGCUGCGCGACCGCAGCAGGCGCCGCGGCCGACGAGUUGGACGACCAGACGGUCACGUUAUCCCUCGCGGUGUAGAGGAGCACGAGGUCUCCUCCGCCGCUGAGCGUGACCAUGCCGGAGGACAGGGCGUCGAGCGGGCGGUCGCGGUUCGCGACCCAGACGACGGCGGGCGGGGAGACGGUGAACCAUAUGCCGAGGAACCACUUGGUGCCGUUGGCGACGGGGAAGAGGCCGAGCUGGAAGACGCCGCCGGGCGAGACCAGCCUCCGUUCGCCGCCGAUGGCCCCCUGCCGUGUCAACGUCGACGAGCUGUCGGCGACGACGGCGGAGGCUGUCAGAAGCAGCACGGACAGCAAUGGGAGGAAGAGUCGGCGGUGGCUCUGGUUCAUGAUGAUCUUGCGCCGGCUGAAUAUGGAAGGAAGCACGGGGAAUGUUACCGUGGAGUCGGUGGAUUUUUUCCCAAGUUCUAAAUACCGAUGGCUGGCAGAAGUACCGCAUUCAUGUCACGGAAUGUUGUGGCGGACCGGUGGUAAACGAGUAAAUUGCAAGGAACCAUCAUUUUAAAGGCUAGUGAGUUUAUGACAGGUGAGUCCCGCUAGUCAAGCUAAGUGGCACCAAUCUCUCACACCGCGACAUCAAAUCGUCUUGAUGGAUGUGGGACCUGCUUGUCAGUGAGACACUCCCCUUCUCUCAAACCACCCACUCUCCGUCGUUUUACCGAGCAGAUGCAUGGAUGCGCCGCCGAAGUUCGGGGUGCGGUCUCCGGUGGAGGCGUUCUCCGUUGACGCUGGAGCGGCCCGUGACGACGUCCGGGAGGGGCGCGGGUGGCAGGGGUGUGCUGUCAGACUUCGUCGAAGCAGGGCGGGGGCGGGGGUGAUGUCAUCUUCUUGCGGACGCUCGAGGUGCGGUCAUGCACCCCGGCCGCCCACCGGCGCUCGAGGUGCAGUCCCACCAGCCGUGGAAGACACUCCUUCCUGCGGACGCUCGCGUGCGAGCCGCAACUUCGCCAGCUGUGGGCAGGGGCCGAGUACGGGGUUUGGGUGUGGAAUCGGCGGGGAUGCCCCGAUCCCAACUGGAUCUGGAUGGAUUGGACAUCGGGGAGGUGAUUCCCGGUGUUGAGAAGGUGCGGCGGCGGGCGAUUGGGGAGCUCCAGCAAGGAGGAAGGCCGCUCCUCGGCCAGGGGCGGGGUCGGGACGGGCAGCGCUCUCUGCCUCGCCCUUGGUGCAGCAACGACGACGGCGGCCGGGCCUCUGCGUCGGCCUGGGUCGGGACUGGCGACGGCCUCCUGCAUCGACCUAGGCGCGACAACAGUGGCCUCUACGUCGACAUGGGCGUGGCAACGACGACGGCGACCCUUGCCUCCGGCAGGGACGGGGCGGGCAGCGGUUGGACCAGAUUUUCGGCUGGGUGGAGAAGAUAGGAUUAAGCAUAUUUUGUUUCUUUUUUCUUUUCCAAUGAUAGGUGGACCCCAUAAGACAACACAUGAUGAUAACGUUACCACACGUCUUCGUUACAUGUGAGAUGUUAAGUGGUGCCACGCCAGUCUGACUGGCGGGCCCCAUCUGUCAUAAUCUCACUUGACAGUGUCAGAUUCGCCGAUCAGUGAUUUUUACAAAAUGAUUACA